rnacentral:rRNA from 1 species
CUACGGGCUGCUGCAGUGGGGAAUAUUGCACAAUGGGCGCAAGCCUGAUGCAGCCAUGCCGCGUGUAUGAAGAAGGCCUUCGGGUUGUAAAGUACUUUCAGCGGGGAGGAAGGGAGUAAAGUUAAUACCUUUGCUCAUUGACGUUACCUGCAGAAGAAGCACCGGCUAACUCCGUGCCAGCAGCCGCGGUAAUACGGAGGGUGCAAGCGUUAAUCGGAAUUACUGGGCGUAAAGCGCACGCAGGCGGUUUGUUAAGUCAGAUGUGAAAUCCCCGGGCUCAACCUGGGAACUGCAUCUGAUACUGGCAAGCUUGAGUCUCGUAGAGGGGGGUAGAAUUCCAGGUGUAGCGGUGAAAUGCGUAGAGAUCUGGAGGAAUACCGGUGGCGAAGGCGGCCCCCUGGACGAAGACUGACGCUCAGGUGCGAAAGCGUGGGGAGCAAGCAGGAUUAGAUACCCCGGUAGUC